UGGGGAAUAUUGGACAAUGGGCGCAAGCCUGAUCCAGCAAUGCCGCGUGUGUGAAGAAGGCCUGCGGGUUGUAAAGCACUUUCAGUAGGGAAGAAAAGCCUGAGGUUAAUACCCUCAAGUCUUGACGUAACCUACAGAAGAAGCACCGGCUAACUCCGUGCCAGCAGCCGCGGUAAUACGGAGGGUGCGAGCGUUAAUCGGAAUUACUGGGCGUAAAGCGCGCGUAGGCGGUUUGGUCAGUCGGAUGUGAAAGCCCAGGGCUUAACCUUGGAACUGCAUUCGAUACUGCCUGACUAGAGUAUGGUAGAGGGAAGUGGAAUUUCCGGUGUAGCGGUGAAAUGCGUAGAUAUCGGAAGGAACACCAGUGGCGAAGGCGACUUCCUGGGCCAAUACUGACGCUGAGGUGCGAAAGCGUGGGGAGCAAACAGGAUUAGAUACCCCCGUAGUCC
rnacentral:rRNA from 1 species